GACGAACGCUGGCGGCGUGCUUAACACAUGCAAGUCGAACGGAAAGGCCCUGCUUUUGUGGGGUGCUCGAGUGGCGAACGGGUGAGUAACACGUGAGUAACCUGCCCUUGACUUUGGGAUAACUUCAGGAAACUGGGGCUAAUACCGGAUAGGAGCUCCUGCUGCAUGGUGGGGGUUGGAAAGUUUCGGCGGUUGGGGAUGGACUCGCGACUUAUCAGCUUGUUGGUGGGGUAGUGGCUUACCAAGGCUUUGACGGGUAGCCGGCCUGAGAGGGCGACCGGCCACAUUGGGACUGAGAUACGGACCAGACUCCUACGGGAGGCAGCAGUGGGGAAUAUUGCACAAUGGGCGGAAGCCUGAUGCAGCAACGCCGCGUGCGGGAUGACGGCUUUCGGGUUGUAAACCGCUUUCGCCUGUGACGAAGCGUGAGUGACGGUAAUGGGUAAAGAAGCACCGGCUAACUACGUG
rnacentral:rRNA from 1 species